rnacentral:rRNA from 1 species
UCCGUAGGUGAACCUGCGGAAGGAUCAUUACCUAGAGUUGUAGGCUUUGCCUGCUAUCUCUUACCCAUGUCUUUUAAGUACCUUACGUUUCCUCGGCGGGUCCGCCCGCCGAUUGGACAAUUUAAACCAUUUGCAGUUGCAAUCAGCGUCUGAAAAAACUUAAUAGUUACAACUUUCAACAACGGAUCUCUUGGUUCUGGCAUCGAUGAAGAACGCAGCGAAAUGCGAUAAGUAGUGUGGAUUGCAGAAUUCAGUGAAUCAUCGAAUCUUUGAACGCACAUUGCGCCCCUUGGUAUUCCAUGGGGCAUGCCUGUUCGAGCGUCAUUUGUACCUUCAAGCUCUGCUUGGUGUUGGGUGUUUGUCUCGCCUCUGCGUGUAGACUCUCCUCAAAACAAUUGGCAGCCGGCGUAUUGAUUUCGGAGCGCAGUACAUCUCGCGCUUUGCACUCAUAACGACGACGUCCAAAAGUACAUUUUUACACUCUUGACCUCGGAUCAGGUAGGGAUACCCGCUGAACUUAAGCAUAUCAAUAAGCGGAGGAA